rnacentral:rRNA from 1 species
ACGGAAGGCAGCAGUGGGGAAUAUUGCACAAUGGGGGAAACCCUGAUGCAGCGACGCCGCGUGAAGGAAGAAGUAUCUCGGUAUGUAAACUUCUAUCAGCAGGGAAGAAAAUGACGGUACCUGACUAAGAAGCCCCGGCUAACUACGUGCCAGCAGCCGCGGUAAUACGUAGGGGGCAAGCGUUAUCCGGAUUUACUGGGUGUAAAGGGAGCGUAGACGGAAUUGCAAGUCUGAUGUGAAAGGCAUGGGCUCAACCUGUGGACUGCAUUGGAAACUGUGAUUCUUGAGUGUCGGAGGGGUAAGCGGAAUUCCUGGUGUAGCGGUGAAAUGCGUAGAUAUCAGGAGGAACACCGGUGGCGAAGGCGGCUUACUGGACGGCAACUGACGUUGAGGCUCGAAGGCGUGGGGAGCAAACAGGAUUAGAUACCCUGGUA